GACGAACGCUGGCGGUGUGCCUCAAACAUGCAAGUCGAGCGUGGGUUGGCUGCCCCGCAAGGGGCGGUUCGACUCUAGCGGCGAACGGGUGAGUAACACGUGGGCAAUCUGCCCCAGAGACGGGGACAACAUCGGGAAACCGGGGCUAAUAACCGGUACGUUCACCGGAGGGCAUCCUCUGGUGAGGCAAGAUCGCUAGAUCGCUCUGGGAUGAGCCCGCGGCAUAUCAGCUGGUUGGUGGGGUAACGGCCUAUCAAGGCUAAGACGGGUAGCUGGUCUGAGAGGAUGGUCAGCCAAACUGGGGCUGAGACACGGCCCAGACUCCUACGGGAGGCAGCAGUUGGGAAUUUUGGGCAAUGGGCGCAAGCCUGACCCAGCGACACCGCGUGGGGGAUGAAGGCCUUCGGGUUGUAAACCCCUGUCAGGAGGGAAGAAGCCCCGCAAGGGGUGACGGUACCUCCAGAGGAAGCCCCGGCUAACUACGUGCCAGCCGCCGCCGUAACAC
rnacentral:rRNA from 1 species